UAAUUUGUAUAUUGAUUUUCAACUAAAUCGGAGAGCAGCACUAUUUAGGUAACCAAAAAAAAGCCAACCAAGCGAAGCGAACGGCUUUCUGGGUUCUAAGGACUGCUUUAUGAAUCAGUAAAAAAUAAAAUCAUUUUGUACGUAUUCAUAAUAAGUCUCUACGGGUGAUAUUUUUAUUCAAAUAAAAAAGUUGAUCAAUCGAUUUUUGAUUUCCUAAUUCAAAUUUGACAUGACAAAAAAAAAUUAAUCUGUCUGUUUGUUUGUCGAAGUCGAACCGUCUUGUGGGGUUAUAAAAAUUUAAAUAAAUAUUAUUUUAAUUAUUUUUACUGCUUAUUGAUUACUAACCCAACAUGGAUGAUGAUAUAGACAUCGAAGAACAUGAUUUGUUAGACAAUCCAGCCAUGAGAAACAUAUUUCCUGAUCUCUCUGUUGUAAAGAAAGAGUUGACUGGAUAUUUUGAGGAAGCUUCAACAAUAAAUUGUCAACCAAACACAUUUCAUAUUGAUAAACUGAUCAUACCAAAAAAUGAAGAGCAUGACCUUUUGCCAGAUUCAAAUAGUAUGCAGACAGGAAUAACACAGCCUCUUGAUAAUGCUUCUUUUCAAUCUGGAGUGUCUGUUAAUCAGAUAAACCAAACACCUUUUAAGACAAAUAAAAUCAUUUUGGGGUCAAAGCCAAGUCUGACUCAGAAUGUAGUAUGUGAAAAGGCUGACAGAGAUGUAUAUUCGGCACAGGUAAAAUUGAUUGAUAUUGAAGCCUACAUAAAAAACAGUGAAAGAUUCUGCAAUAUUUGUCUUAUACUAUUUCCUGAAAAAGAAGAUCUUGAUGUACAUACAACAUUAAAUCACAAACAGAUUAGUCUAUGCAAUAUGGCAAGAAAGAAGAAUACGAUAACUAUUGGAUCAGUCGUAAGAAAAUACAAAUGUGUUGAAUGUGGUGAAAUUUUUACACAGCAUAAUCAAUUAAGAAGGCAUUUGAUUAAUAUUCAUAGAAAAAACCACAAAAACAAUUGGACUGCCAGAAAACACAUUACGCACCAGUUAUCAUCAACAGAAACUAAAAUGAUAUCUGAAACAGAAUCGCAUGAAUGUUUUCAUUGUAAAGUUACAUUUUCUUCAAAAAAAUUGCUCAUUGAUCACAUCUAUAAAGUUUUACAAUCAAAACAAGUCAGUGAUAUUAAUGGUCCACAAGCUUUAACAACCUUAGGGAAACUAGCAGAAGAUAAGUUGAAAAAUAAUCUACAAGUAACUAAAAGGGUCUUGAGUAAGGAAAUGGGAGACUCUGAUUCUACACAUGGCACUAAAAUUAGACCCAUAAGACAGAAAAGAUAUGAAUCUGGUCAAAGAAAUGUGAACGGAAUACAGAAAAACAUUUUAAUAUUUAAAUGUAUUUACUGUUCUUAUAAUUUUUCACUUCUGAAGUUUUGCUUGAGUCAUAUUGAAAAUAAACACAAAGAUUUCAGUUUAAAGAAAAUAAAGCCAACAAAAUUUAAUGAGCAAUGUGAUCAUUGUUCAAAAAAAUUAGUUGAUUACAGAGUUUAUAAUUCACAUUUGCGAUUAUAUCACAAAGAAAAAAUUGAAAAAACGAUUAAAGUAUAUCCAAAACUAUGUUUACCGAAAAUAGACAUCAUAAUGCCUCUAACUGAAAAACCUAAAGUAAUGACUCAAGGAAAUAACUACAAUAAUUUGACUAUGAGAAGCUUAAAGGUUGAUCACUGUGAAAACCUUGAUUCUGAAGGUAAUAAACAAGGUGAGGAAUCCUAUUCAGACUGUAACGAGCAGCUUGUACUGAAAUCAAUUUUAUUUAAAUGUCUGCGAUGUGAUAUUCACUUUUUAUCAGCUAAAACUGCAAUGAAUCAUGCAGAUCAUAUGGAAUUGUUAAUUAACUGGAAAUGUUUAUCAUGCAAUAAAAUUUUUAAAAAAGUUGACGAAAAAUUACAUGUAAGGCAGCAUUCGUUUUCUGACAACUUCACAGUAUAUGAAUUUUCUGAGACUCAACUAUCACAAUUGUUAUAUAAAUGUUCCAAGUGUGCAAUCCAUUUUAAUGCGAAUGGUUUUGAACCACAUAUAAAAAAAUGUGAAAUUGUUGUGGCAGAAUCAGUUUAUUGCAAGAUUUGUGAUAUUCUUAUUGAUAGAUGUAUUGCUGGAACUCAUGAAGACUAUCAUCACAGGAGAAAAUUUAAACCAACUGACUUUACUAUAUUAUUAUCUGAACCUAUUGGUGCUGAAUCAGUGCAAAAACCAGAAACAAUACCCAUGGUUAAAAAGUUACCCAAAAAGAAGAUAAAGCAAACACGGGAUAGGAGUAAUUUCAAUCUAAAGUAUUGUCAAACAUGCAAUUCUUUUAUAAGAAUGAGAGGAGUUAAGCGUUUAGUUCAUUUGGAAUCACGCUGUGCACAUUUACCAGUUCAUAUUUGUAAAAUAUGUGGACUUACGUUUACAAACAAAUCUAUGGGCGCCCACAGAGCUAUGCAUUUAAAGAAAAAAGGCAUAAAAUUACAAGACUUUACAUUUUACUGCUUUAGAAAAAAUAAACAAAUUUCACCGCCCGUACCCAAAUAUCCGGAGUGUAAGAAUUGCAACGUUCAUUUCAUAUCCAAAGUUGCUGUAUUAAAUCACAUAUGCAGUGAAGAUUAUCUAACAUGCCACAUUUGUAAUAUAAAACUAUCCGAAGCAGUUUUUAAAUUACAUUUGUCAUUCCAUUACUAUUCAAUCACAAAUAAAAAUAAAAAAAUUAUACUGUACCAAAGUGAUGCAAUACAUUCAGGCGAACAACUGGAAGUGCGUGAAAUUAAACGUCCGCGACCACCUCCGAGAAAAAGAAAUUUGUCUGAACCAGGUCAUAGCUCGGAGGCAGAGAUCCAAGAACCAAAAUGCUCGGCAAGAUCUGAUCGGAAUCUGUCAAGUCAUACAGAAAGAUUACAUGAAGGACAGGGUGAUGAAUACCUGCAUGAAAACGAAAAUAAUUCUACCAUAGCGGAUGUCAAACCUGAACCUGAAAUUGCUUCUGAGGAGUGCAAACUUACAUCCUCAAAACAUAUAAUUUCUGUUGAAAAACAUUUAGUAAAUCAAAAAGCUGGACAAUCGGACUUUGUUCUCUUUGAAGUCCUAUAUUGUUGCACAAAUUGUCACAUCACAAUUGAUACUUAUGAUAAAGUGGUAGAACAUUGCCAAGAUCAUUUAUGUGGAGUGGAAAUUGAGAAAAAAGGAUGUGAAACCUGUAAAAUAACACUGGAUCGUAACAGCUAUGAUAACCACAUUAAAGAAUUCCACAGUGAUGAAGUAACAAGAAAAUCUUUUAAAUUACUGGAAUUUGACACAUUUUAUUUUACAGAAGAUAACAAAAUUUGGACUAAACAUAUAUUUCGAAAUAUUAGUCAAGAAAAGUCACUACAAAUUUUAAGAAGAUCGAUUUACAGAUAUGGUUGCAAAACUAAAAUGCAAGUAAUUCAAGAUGGAUCCCCUGAUUUAACAGUUUAUAAAUGUAAUAGCUGCUUUGUUAUUGUAGAUCCAGAAUCUGUAAUUAAACAUGUGGAAAAUUCAUGUUUUAAGUCACGUAAACAUCCAUGCUCAUAUUGUGGAUUACCUUUCAUGUCUUAUUUGUCGUUAAAAGAACAUUUAAGUGUCCACAAAACAAUGAACAUAACGCUGAAAUCGUACAGGAUUGUUUUAAUCAAUCAAGAGAAGGAUAAAAAGAGCAACAAAAUUAUAAAUGGUCACAACAAAUUCUUCCUUUUAUAUAAGUGUAGAAAAUGUAACUGUAUCCUUGAUCAGUUUCAACGUCAUAGUCAUACAUUGUGUUCCGAAAUGGAUUUGAAAAACUGUCCUGUAUGUGGCUUACUGUUUUACCAUUCUGACUAUAAACUCCAUAAGACUAAACAUGAAUUAGUUUAUAACUUUGAACCAAAGAACAUGAAAAUUAUUUUAUUUGGGGAUAGAGCUUCGAAGGAAGCAUCUCUGGAUUCCAUUGACCAAAAGACAUUCAAGGGCACAAUUGUGGACUUUACAUUUAUUCAAUGCUCAAAAUGCGGUGUAUGCCUGGAGAAAUCUCCAAUAACUACAAUAAACCAUAUUAAAUGCUAUGAAGACAACGAAAAAUCAAAAUGUCCAAAAUGUGAAAUGUAUGUUUUAAAACAUAAAUUUUCUCGUCACUCUAAAUUACACGAUAUUAAUGUUCAUUUUGUUAAAGAAAAUAUUAAUAUAAUACCUUACGAUCAUAAUGAACAGUUAAAAAAGUUUAUACCAGCCUCAUUAAAUCUAUCAAAUGAAGCAAAGAAUGCAAAUCAAACAAUAAACAGAAUUUCACAUCAAACGAAAGAAAAAAGUCCAAUACUACCAGAAAAAACAGUAAAAUUGUUUAAAUGUACUUGUGGGUUACAUUAUUUGGAUAAAAAUGGUAUAGACGAACAUUUUGGCCACUGCAAUCCUAAAACAUCUAAACAAUAUUGCUCUAAAUGCAAUCUUUUGUUUACUCCAUCCGUUUUAUUUACUCAUUUGUUGUUACAUCAUGGUGACAAAAAAUAUGUUUAUAAAUACAACAUUAUUGAAAUGUCUCAGAACAAAAAUCUAAUUAUAAAUAUAUACAAUUGUGCACAUUGUAGAACGCAUUUCAUAGAAUAUGAUAAAGCUUUAGAACAUUUUGGGAAUUGCGAAGACGUUGAAGUGGAAAGAAAAGAAUGUAUAAAAUGUAAGGUAUUUUUCCCUAUUGACUCUAUUGCAGAACAUGAGACUAAACAUCACAAUGAAAGCGUUGCAGAUAUUAACAUAAUAGAUGUUACUGACAAAAAGGACCAAAAUAAGGCAGAUGCAAAAUCUAUAGAUAAUGUAAUUGAUCAAGCGGAUAUUGUAAGAGAAACGAAAUAUAAUAUUUCUGAAGAGAGUCUAUCACAAAUUGAUUUAAGUCGGUAUGACAAUACUAUUUAUAAAUGCGAACCGUGUAACACCCAUUUUUUAACCGAACAUACUUUAAGACGACAUGUCGCCCAUGAUAGGCAUGUGUUAUCUCCUCAACAGACAUGUGAUUUUUGCAAAUUGAGUUUUUCUUUGCAGUCACUUACUAAACAUAUUUAUAUUCACCAUGAUAGAAUGAAGAUCAAUAAAAAUGAAUUUAUAAUCAAAACUAAUUAAAUCAAAAUUGUUGUAAAUAAUUUUGUUAAUAGAUUUUCUUAACUUUGUAAUGCAUGUAAAUAAAUAGGUAUAUUAAUAGAGGUAGUUCGAUUAAAUUUUUUGUUGAAAUAAGUACCUACAUCUUGCUGAUGACCAUUGCAAGGAUUAGAACUUUUAUUUGUAAUGGUUAUGUUGGACUGUUAAUAUUUUAUGUUAGAAAGUGACCUUCACAAAUGUUUGAUUAUUUUAGUUCAUUGUGGUAUGUUUGAUUUUAAUAAAAUGCAAUAAAUUGA